GCGGGUGUAGUUUAGUGGUAAAACCUCAGCCUUCCAAGCUGAUGAUGCGAGUUCGAUUCUCGCCACCCGCU
rnacentral:tRNA from 10 species